rnacentral:rRNA from 1 species
UACGGAGGGUGCAAACGCUGCUCGGAAUUAUUGGGCGUAAAGCGCACGUAGGUGGUCUGUUAAGUCGGAUGUGAAAGCCCCAGGCUCAACUUGGGAAGUGCAUUCGAAACUGGCAGGCUUGAGUAUGGAAGAGGGUCGCGGAAUUCCCGGUGUAGAGGUGAAAUUCGUAGAUAUCGGGAGGAACACCAGUGGCGAAGGCGGCGACCUGGGCCAAUACUGACACUGAGGCGCGAAAGCGUGGGGAGCAAACAGG